UACUUGACUGAAAAUUCUUUAUUCUUCGUUGAUUUAAUCAGGAGAGACUUCAAUCCGAUGAAGAUAGAUUUUUUGUUGGACUGUUAUCAAAACACCAACUCUGCUAAAUCUUCUUCAAAAGGACCAAAGAAACCCAAUAAAACUCAAUCAUCCCUUGACAAAGAAGCUUUACCUUGAACGCCUAUUUAUGGCUACUGACUCUUAUAAAAGGAUGUUCAGUUGAAACAAAGAACAAAGCAUCCAAUCAAAUAAUUGAUGGAAUUAAACACGAAGAAACUGCGAAAGGAAAGAACUUUCAAGAACUUUAUUCAUCUUCAACCUUAUCGGAGAAGAUAGGAAUGACAAACACUCCGAUUUGGAUGAAGCUACACAACAAAAUCGCCUAUGCGAACAAAGAGUCGCCUACGCGAAAAUGAGAGUCGCCUACGCGAAAACGAGAGUAUAAUACAACCCAACGAAAACAAAAAAACAAAAGGUUAGGCGACCGGUGGCGGAAGGCCACCGGCCACCGGAACAAAGAUCUUAAAUCUGUAGCUUUUAGAAAGAGAUCGGAGAAAACAAGAGAAAAUAAUGAUUCAUGAAUCUUUGUUAAAGGGUGGAUCAUGUUAGUCUUAAUUUCUUAGUCUAUCUCAUUAUUCUCAGCUAAGUAAAGGUGCGUUCAAAAGCU
rnacentral:lncRNA from 1 species